AGUUUUAAACUCAAGUGGCGGACGGGUGAGUAACACGUAAGAAUUUGCCUCUAGGAGGGGGACAACAACUGGAAACGGUUGCUAAUACCCCAUAUGCUUUCGAGUGAAACGGAUUUUUCCGCCUAGAGAGAAGCUUGCGGCUGAUUAGCUUGUUGGUGAGGUAAUGGCUUACCAAGGCGACGAUCAGUAUCUGGUUUGAGAGGACGAUCAGACACACUGGAACUGAGACACGGUCCAG
rnacentral:rRNA from 1 species